AUAAAGUUUUAUUCUUGCUUAGAAAUUUGUUUUUAAUUUAUUUUACAUGUAAAUUUUUGUGUGAAUAGAUGUUUAAUUAAAAAUUAAAUAUAGUAAUUAUAUUCGCAGUAAUUAAUAUUAUAAUUAUUUAAGCAAUUAAGAAAUAGUAAAUUAUUUUAUAUUGGUAAAAUUUGUGCCAGCAACUGCGGUUAUACAAAAAAUAUAAUAAAUUUUAUAGGUAAUAGUUAAAUUAUAUUUAGAAAAAAUUAUAAAUUUAAUUUUAUUAGGUGAAAUUUUAAAAUUAAUUUUUAAUUAAGAUUUGUUAAUUGAGGCUAGGAAAAUUUAAUAAAAGACUAGGAUUAGAUACCCUAUUAUUUAAAUUGUAAAUUGUAAUACCUGAGUAGUAAUAGAUAUGGUCUUGAAACUUAAAGAAUUUGGCGGUAUUUUAAUCUGUUCAGAGGAACCUGUUCUGUAAUCGAUAAUCCACGAGGACUUUACUUAAGCUUGUUUUUCAAUUUGUAUACCGCCGUUAUUGAUUAUUUUAUAAGAAAAAUAAUUUUCUUUAUUUUUAAUAAAAAAUAUAUCAGGUCAAGGUGCAGUUUAUGUUUAAGGAAGAAAUGGGUUACAAUAAAAUUAUUUAAACGGAUGAUAAAUUGAAAUAUUUAUUUUAAGGUGGAUUUGAAAGUAAAAUUUAAAUAAUAAUAAUUUGAUUUUGGCUCUAAAAUAUGUACACAUCGCCCGUCGCUCUUAUUUCUUUAUUUAUAAUCUAAAAUAAGAUAAGUCGUAACAUAGUAGAAUUACUGGAAAGUGAUUCUAGAAUGA
rnacentral:ncRNA from 1 species